AUGUCGUCUUCUAUCUCAUCGUCAUCUGAACGCCUCUGUCUCCGAACUCGGGCCAUUCGCAACUGUCGGAGCUGCUCCGACUGUAUUUCAACGGUGACGUUUGUAAGAAAACCAGAGAAUUUGUGGAGGAGAAGAGAGAGUUUCUUGGAGUUUUCUGUGCGAUUCUUCUGCAAGUUGAGAGGAAUAUCAUCUUUAACAGAAACCGGUCUUUGA